UGUCAUAGUCUUUGAGGGUAUAUU
rnacentral:misc_RNA from 1 species